rnacentral:lncRNA from 10 species
CCGGCCUAAUCUCAACGUUUUAAGAAAGUUUAUGAAUUUGUGUUGGACUGCUUCAAAGCCAUCCUAGGCCGCAGGUUGGACAAGCUUGCUUUAUACCUCAUAGUUAGAGAAGGUAAUAUUUAGCAAGCAGAGUUGUUAAAGAGGAAGGCCUUGGCUACUCAGGUUAUAUGACAGAUAGGAUUCAUUUAGGUCAAUGCAAGGAUCCAGGGGAGAGAACCUCUGUUUACUUCAUUUGUCUCCCCAUCUCAAAAGGACUAAUAUCCUUGUAAAUAGGAGUGUGCAGAGCUGUUUGAGAACACUGCUCGUCACUUCCAAACCCCACAGGCUGAAUGAUGAUUGCCCUCCUGAUCUCUAAGAAAUGGAGUAUGUUAGGGCUUAGGCCUGGGGCCCUUUAUCUUCUCUGUCUUCAUCUCUUCUUAGGUGAUCUCACCCAGUACCAUGCUGUCAAUAAGCUGAUGACUCCCAAAUCUAUAUAUCCAGCCCUGGUUCCUCUCUGGGCUCCACUCAACAUCUCCUCCCCAACCUUCCUCCUCUCAAUGAAAAGCACUCAAAUGCCCAGUUGCUAAGACCAAAAACAUGGUAUGUCUCACUUUCCCUCACCUCCCACAUCUAAUCCAUCAGCAGUUCCUGUCAGUUUUACAUCUAAAAUACUGUGUACCUGAAUUUGACCACUCCUCAUCAUUCCCACUCCUACCACCAUAUAUUUCAGGUCAUCUUCCCCUUCCUGGACUGUUGCAAUGGUCUCUUCCCCCCGUCUCUGCUUCCAUUCCCAUCCCCCAACAAUAUAUUCUGCACAGAACUGUGAGAGAUGAUCAUACGAAAUAAUAUAAGGUUUGAGAUGUACUUCAAAAGAAUUUGAGAAAUAGGGGGCUAGAUGGGUAUAGAGAUGAAAAGAUUAUCCAUACAAUGAUAAUUAUUGAAGCUGACUGAAAAGGGUACAUGGGGUUCAUGAUACUAUUUUCUCUACUGUGUUUGUUUGAAAUUUUCCAUAAUAAAAAAAGUUGAAGG